rnacentral:rRNA from 1 species
ACUUAAAUUGAAGAGUUUGAUCAUGGCUCAGAUUGAACGCUGGCGGCAGGCCUAACACAUGCAAGUCGAACGGUAGCACAGAGAGCUUGCUCUCGGGUGACGAGUGGCGGACGGGUGAGUAAUGUCUGGGAAACUGCCUGAUGGAGGGGAUAACUACUGGAAACGGUAGCUAAUACCGCAUAACGUCGCAAGACCAAAGAGGGGGACCUUCGGGCCUCUUGCCAUCAGAUGUGCCCAGAUGGGAUUAGCUAGUAGGUGGGGUAAUGGCUCACCUAGGCGACGAUCCCUAGCUGGUCUGAGAGGAUGACCAGCCACACUGGAACUGAGACACGGUCCAGACUCCUACGGGAGGCAGCAGUGGGGAAUAUUGCACAAUGGGCGCAAGCCUGAUGCAGCCAUGCCGCGUGUAUGAAGAAGGCCUUCGGGUUGUAAAGUACUUUCAGCGAGGAGGAAGGCAUUAAGGUUAAUAACCUUGGUGAUUGACGUUACUCGCAGAAGAAGCACCGGCUAACUCCGUGCCAGCAGCCGCGGUAAUACGGAGGGUGCAAGCGUUAAUCGGAAUUACUGGGCGUAAAGCGCACGCAGGCGGUCUGUCAAGUCGGAUGUGAAAUCCCCGGGCUCAACCUGGGAACUGCAUUCGAAACUGGCAGGCUAGAGUCUUGUAGAGGGGGGUAGAAUUCCAGGUGUAGCGGUGAAAUGCGGCAGCCAUGCCGCGUGUAUGAAGAAGGCCUUCGGGUUGUAAAGUACUUUCAGCGAGGAGGAAGGCAUUAAGGUUAAUAACCUUGGUGAUUGACGUUACUCGCAGAAGAAGCACCGGCUAACUCCGUGCCAGCAGCCGCGGUAAUACGGAGGGUGCAAGCGUUAAUCGGAAUUACUGGGCGUAAAGCGCACGCAGGCGGUCUGUCAAGUCGGAUGUGAAAUCCCCGGGCUCAACCUGGGAACUGCAUUCGAAACUGGCAGGCUAGAGUCUUGUAGAGGGGGGUAGAAUUCCAGGUGUAGCGGUGAAAUGCGUAGAGAUCUGGAGGAAUACCGGUGGCGAAGGCGGCCCCCUGGACAAAGACUGACGCUCAGGUGCGAAAGCGUGGGGAGCAAACAGGAUUAGAUACCCUGGUAGUCCACGCCGUAAACGAUGUCGACUUGGAGGUUGUUCCCUUGAGGAGUGGCUUCCGGAGCUAACGCGUUAAGUCGACCGCCUGGGGAGUACGGCCGCAAGGUUAAAACUCAAAUGAAUUGACGGGGGCCCGCACAAGCGGUGGAGCAUGUGGUUUAAUUCGAUGCAACGCGAAGAACCUUACCUACUCUUGACAUCCAGAGAACUUAGCAGAGAUGCUUUGGUGCCUUCGGGAACUCUGAGACAGGUGCUGCAUGGCUGUCGUCAGCUCGUGUUGUGAAAUGUUGGGUUAAGUCCCGCAACGAGCGCAACCCUUAUCCUUUGUUGCCAGCGGUUCGGCCGGGAACUCAAAGGAGACUGCCAGUGAUAAACUGGAGGAAGGUGGGGAUGACGUCAAGUCAUCAUGGCCCUUACGAGUAGGGCUACACACGUGCUACAAUGGCAUAUACAAAGAGAAGCGACCUCGCGAGAGCAAGCGGACCUCAUAAAGUAUGUCGUAGUCCGGAUUGGAGUCUGCAACUCGACUCCAUGAAGUCGGAAUCGCUAGUAAUCGUAGAUCAGAAUGCUACGGUGAAUACGUUCCCGGGCCUUGUACACACCGCCCGUCACACCAUGGGAGUGGGUUGCAAAAGAAGUAGGUAGCUUAACCUUCGGGAGGGCGCUUACCACUUUGUGAUUCAUGACUGGGGUGAAGUCGUAACAAGGUAACCGUAGGGGAACCUGCGGUUGGAUCACCUCCUUACCUGAAAGAA